CUGAAACAGUGUCCCGGGGUGACAAGCAAAAUGCUUUGUGACAUAUACUUUUGGGGGGAGGACGGCUGUAGUUUGCCCCCUUUUUCCCUGGAAUGGCCUGCCCACCCCAGUGAAGAUCCAUUUAAGAAGGGCUGGUCUUUGCUAGUAAGGAGGAUGCUGAAGGAGCUAACUCCUGUCCUGAACACGAUGGUUUUGUGGCUGUCCAAACACCCUGGAAGUCGGCUAGUUCUGGAGGGUUUUCCGGGCUGUGUGGCCGUGGUCUGGUGGAUCUUGUUCCUAACGUUUUGCCUGCAUCUGUGGUUGUCAUCUUCAGAGGUGUAUCACAGAGGGGAGUCUGUUACACACGGUGUCCCACAGAAACAGUUGAAUCCAGCAGUGAAAGCCUUCAACAAUACAUCCUGGAAGUCCUUCUUGAGAGUCUCUCUGACAGUUAAUUUUUGUUAUAUUUAACUGAGGGGAGAAAUUAAGAUUAAGGUUAUACUUACCUGAGAGGAGAAAUGUAGGUUGUACGUACCUGAGGGGAGAAAUUAAGGUUUAGGUUAUAGUUCCCUGAGGUGAGAAAUGUAGGUUGUACGUACCUGAGGGGAGAAAUUAAGGUUUAGCUUAUACUUACCUGAGAGGAGAAAUGUAGGUUGUACGUACCUGAGGGGAGAAAUUAAGGUUUAGGUUAUACUUACCUGAGGGGAGAAAUUAAGGUUUAGGUUAUACUUACCUGAGGGGAGAAAUUGAGGUUUAGGUUAUACUUACCUGAGGGGAGAAAUUGAGGUUUAGGUUAUACUUACCUGAGGGUAGAAAUUAAGGUUAUACUUAGCUCAAGGGAGAAAUGGAGGUUUAGGUUAUACUUACAUAAGGCGAGAAAUACAGGUUGUAUUUACCUAAGGGGAGAAAUUAAGGUUUAGGAUACAGUUACCUGAGGGGAGAAAUGUAGGUUAUACUUACCUCAGGGGAGAAAUGAAGGUUUAGGUUAUACUUACCUGCGGUGAGAAAUGUUGGUUAUCCUUAUCUGAGGGGAGAAAUUAAGGUUUAGAGUACAGUUAUCUAAGGAGAUAAAUGUAGGUUAUACUUACAUGAGGGGAGAAAUUAAGGUUUAGGUUAUACUUACCUGAGGGGAGGAAUGUAGGUUAUACUUACCUGAGGGGAGAAAUGGAGGUUUAGGUUAUACUUACCUGAGGGGAGAAAUGGAGGUUAUCCUUACCUGAGGGGAAAAAUUAAGGUUUAGGUUAUACUUGCCUGAGGUGAGAAAUACAGGUUGUAUUUACCUAAGGGGAGAAAAUAAGGUUUAGGGUACAGUUACCUGAGGUGAGAAAUGUAGGUUGGACUUACCUGAGGGGAGAAAUUGAGAUUUAGGUUAUACUUACCUGGGAGGAGAAAUGUGGGUUAUACUUACCAGAGGUGAGAAAUUAAGGUUUAGGUUAUACUUACCUGAGGGGAGAAAUGGAGGUUGUACUUACCUGAGGGGAGAAAUUAAGGUUUAGGUUAUACUUACCUGAGGGGAGAAAUGUGGGUUGUACUUACCUGAGGGGAGAAAUGUAGGUUGCCCUUACCUGAGGAGAGAAAUUUGGGUUAUACAUGCCUGAGGGUGAAGAUAAAGGUUUAGGUUAUACAUACCUGAGGUGAGAAAUGUAGGUUAUCCUUACCUGAGAGGAGAAAUUAAGGUUUAGGUUAUACUUACCUUAGAGGGAAAAUGUAGGUUGUACGUACCUGAGGGAAGAAAUUAAGGUUUAGUUUAUAUUUAUCUGAGGGGAGAAAUGUAGGUUUAGGUUAUACUUACCUGAGGGGAGAAAUUGAGCUUAUACUUACCUGAGGGAAGAAAUGGAGGUUUAGGUUAUACUUACCUGAGGGGAGAAAUUGAGGUUAUCCUUACCUGAGGGGAAAAAUUAAGGUUUAGGUUAUACUUGCCUGAGGUGAGAAAUACAGGUUGUAUUUACCUAAGGGGAGAAAUUAAGGUUUAGGGUACAGUUACCUGAGGGGAGAAAUGUACGUUAUACUUACCUGAGGGGAGAAAUUAAGGCUUAGGUUAUAUUUACCUGAGGGGAGAAAUGUAGGUUGGACUUACCUGAGGGGGAAAAUUAAGGUUUAGGUUAUACUUACAUGGGAGGAGAAAUGUGGGUUAUGCUUACCAGAGGAGAGGAAAUUAAGGUUUAGGAAAAUAAUGUUUUUGUUAAAAAAAAUAACUAUUCUACAUACAAUUUAAUGAAUAGAGAAAAUUAAAAAUUGCAUACAUAGCAUACAUGUAAAACCCCUAAUUUACAAUACAGUUAGACAUCAUAUGCCACUAGAAAAAUGGUAUACCUACCUGAGGGGAGAAAUGUAGGUUGCCCUUACCUGAGGGCAGAAAUUUAGAUUCUAUUUACCUGAUGGGAGAAAUUAAGGUUUAGGUUAUACUUACCUGAGGUGAGAAAUGUAGGUUAUCCUUACCUGAGGGGGAAAAUUAAGGUUUAGUUUAUACUUACCUGAGGGGAGAAAUUAAGGUUUAGGUUAUAUUUACCUUUAGCGAGAAAUUGAGGUUUAGGUUAUACUUACCUGAGGGGAGAAAUUAAGGUUUAGGUUAUACUUACCUGAGAGGAAAAAUGUAGGUUGUACGUACCUGAUGGAAGAAAUUAAGGUUUAGUUUAAAUUUACCUGAGGAGAGAAAUGUAGGUUAUACUUACCUGAGCGGAGAAAUGUAGGUUGUACUUACCUGAGGGGAGAAAUUGAGAUUUAGGUUAUACUUACCUGGGAGGAGAAAUGUGGGUUAUACUUACCAAAGGUGAGAAAUUAAGGUUUAGGUUAUACUUACCUUAGAGGGACAAUGUAGGUUGUAUGUACCUGAGGGAAGAAAUUAAGGUUUAGUUUAUAUUUACCUGAGGGGAGAAAUGUAGGUUAUACUUACCUGAGGGGAGCAAUUAAGGUUUAGGUUAUCCUUACCUGAGGUGAGAAGUGUAGGUUGGACUUACCUGAGGGGGGAAAUUAAGGUUUAGGUUAUACUUACCUGGGAGGAGAAAUGUGGGUUAUACUUACCAGAGGAGAGGAAAUUAAGGUUUAGGAAAAUAAUGUUCUUUUUUGGAAAAUAAUGUUUUUAUUAAAAAAAGUAUUCUACAUACAAUUUACUGAAUAGAGAAAAUUAAAAAUUGCAUACAUAGCAUACAUUUAAAUCCCCUGACUAACAAUACAGUUUGACAUCAUAUGCCACUAGAAAAAUGGUAUACUUACCUGAGGGGAGAAAUGUAGGUUGCCCUUACCUUAGGGCAGAAAUUUAGAUUGUACUUACCUGAGGGGAGAAAUUAAGGUUUAGGUUAUACUUACCUGAGGGGAGAAAUUAAGGUUUAGGUUAUACUUACCUGAGGGGAGAAAUGGAGGUUUAGGUCAUACUUACCUGAGGGGAGAAAUGUAGGUUGUACUUACCUGAGGGGAGAAAUUAAGGUUUAAGUUAUACUUACCUGAGGGGAGAAAUGUAGGUUAUACUUACUUGGGGGGAGAAAUUAAGGUUUAGGUUGUACUUACCUGAGGGGAGUAAUGUAGGUUAUCCUUACUUGAGGUUUAGAAUAAUAGUGUUUUUUUUUAAGGAAAAUAAUGUUUUUAUUUUAAAAAAUUAACUAUUUUUCAUAGCAAGUUAACAAUUUUUACAAUCAAAUUCUAAUACACACAGUAAAUAUACAGUUGUCUUAAAAUAUUACUGAAGAGAAAAAAAUCAAACAUCGCAUACAUAACAUACAUGUAAAACCUGACUAACAAAACAAUUUAAUAUCAUAUACCACCAGAAAUAGGGUAUGCUUACCUGAGGUGAGAAAUGUAGGUUGUACUUACCUGAGCGGAGUAAUGUAGGUUAUACUUACCUGAGGGGAAAAAUUAAGGUUUAGGAAAAUAAUAGAUUUUUUAAUGACAAUAAUGUUUUUAUUAAAAAGUAACUGUUCUACAUAACAAGUUAACAAUUUUUACAAUAAAAUUGAAACAUACUGAUUAAAAAACAUUCAACAUUACUGAAUAGAGGAAAAUCAAACAUCACAUACAUAAUAUAGAUGUAAAACCUCUGAUUAACAAAACAAUUUGAUAUCAUAUACCACCAGAAACAGGGUAUACUUACCUGAGGGGAGAAAUGUAGGGUAUACUUACCUGAGGGGAGAAAUUAAGGU